rnacentral:rRNA from 1 species
AUUGAACGCUGGCGGCAGGCCUAACACAUGCAAGUCGAGCGGAUGAAGGGAGCUUGCUCCUGGAUUCAGCGGCGGACGGGUGAGUAAUGCCUAGGAAUCUGCCUGGUAGUGGGGGAUAACGUCCGGAAACGGGCGCUAAUACCGCAUACGUCCUGAGGGAGAAAGUGGGGGAUCUUCGGACCUCACGCUAUCAGAUGAGCCUAGGUCGGAUUAGCUAGUUGGUGGGGUAAAGGCCUACAAAGGCGACGAUCCGUAACUGGUCUGAGAGGAUGAUCAGUCACCCUGGAACUGAGACACGGCCCAGACUCCCACGGGAGGCAGCAGGGGGGAAUUUUGGAAAAUGGGGGAAAGCCUGAUCCAGCCUUGCCGGGGGUGUGAAGAAGGUUUGCGGAUUGGAAAGCAUUUUAAGUUGGGGGGAAGGGCAGUAAGUUAAUACCUUGCUGUUUGGACGUUACCAAAAGAAUAAGCACCGGCUAACUUCGG